rnacentral:rRNA from 1 species
CCUGGUGGCCAUAGCGAGGGGCCUUACACCCGAUCCCUUCCCGAACUCGGCCGUGAAAACCCUCUGCGCCAAUGGUACUGCGGCUCAAGCCGCGGAAGAGUAGGGCGCCGCCAGGC